AUGUUUGUAUUUUUCAUCUUACUGAAAAUUCUGUUAGUCUUUGCUUCUAUGACAUUAAGGCAAGUUUUUCUUACCUUAAGCUUCUAUAACACUUGGUUAUUUUGCUUUUCUUCUUUUCUUUUCUUUUUUCUCUAUCAAAAUACAAAUGCCCUGAGGACUUGAAAUAGUCAUAGUAGCCAUAUAAUUUAACUGAACCACAAGCAUAUGAGAAAAAUAUGAAAAUUUCAAGAACAAAGACAGGUUAUCUAGGAUUAGAAUCAGAACUAAGGCUGGCAUAUAAACAACCCUGAGAGGGAUUGGUUUCUUAAAUGUUGCAUCCCAAGUGCCUCACUUGAUUGACUGUACUCCCUCAAUGUCUAGGACCAAGACACAAUAAUAAAAUUGAUAUGAAAGCAUUUGCAUCAAAUUUUAGAAAAAUCCCAAAUCUUAAAGCUCUAAAAAUUAAAAGAAGGUUAUCAUGGAAAGUAGCUCAUAUUUAGUGAAUAUCUUCCAUAUGCCAAUACUCUGGAACAUGUUACCCCAUUAGUUAUGUUUUAGUCUGGGCUGCUAGAGCAAAGUAGACCAGGUGUCUUAUAAACAACAGAAAUUUAUCUUUCAUAGUUCUGCAGGUUAGAAGUCUAAGAUCAGGGUGCCAGCGUGGCUGGGUUCUGUCAAGAGCCCUCUUCCAAGUUGCAGACUUCUCAUUGUAUCCUAAUAGGGAGGAAAGAGCAGAGAGAUUUCUUGAGUUUCUUUUAUAAGGCCACUAAUCCCAUUUGUGAAGAUUUCAUCCUCGUGACCUAAUCACUCCCUAAAGUCCCCACUUCCUAAUACCAUCAUAUUGGGAGUUAGGAUUUAACAUAUUGAUUUUAGGGUGACACAAAUAUUCAGCUCAUAGCAUCCCACCCCUACCCCCCAAAUUCAUGUUUUUCUCACAUGUAAAGUACCUUCAUUCCAUCCCAGUAGCCCCAAAGUCUUAACUUGUUUCAACAUCAACUUUGUAUAGUCUAAAAUUUCAUUUAAAUAAGAUAUGGGUGAGACUCAAAGUACAAUUCAUCCGGAGACAAAUUGCUCUCCAGC
rnacentral:lncRNA from 1 species